ACUCAAAUGAAUAGACGGGGGCCCGCACAAGCGGUGGAGCAUGUGGAUUAAUUCGUCACUAACCGAAGAACCUUACCCAGGCUUGACAUCGCGUGUAAAGCUAUGAAAGUAGCUCCUCCCUUCGGGGACACAAAGACAGGUGUUGCAUGGCUGUCGUCAGCUCGUGUCGUGAGAUGUUGGGUUAAGUCCCGCAACGAGCGCAACCCUCACCGUAUGUUGCCAGCGUAAAGUCGGGAACUCUUACGGAACUGCCCGUGCAAGCGGGAGGAAGGUGGGGAUGACGUCAAGUCGGCAUGGCCCUUACGCCUGGGGCUUCACACAUGCUACAAUGGACGGCACAGAGCGCUCCGAAGCCGCGAGGUGGAGGCAAUCGCAAAAAUCCGUCCUCAGUUCGGAUUGCAGGCUGCAACUCGCCUGCAUGAAGCUGGAAUCGCUAGUAACCGCAGGUCAGCUAAACUGCGGUGAAUACGUUCCCGGGCCUUGUACACACCGCCCGU
rnacentral:rRNA from 1 species